rnacentral:rRNA from 1 species
UACGUAGGGGGCAAGCGUUGUCCGGAAUCAUUGGGCGUAAAGCGCGUGUAGGCGGUCCGGUAAGUCGGCUGUGAAAGUCCAGGGCUCAACCCUGGGAUGCCGGUCGAUACUGCCGGACUAGAGUUCGGAAGAGGCGAGUGGAAUUCCCGGUGUAGCGGUGAAAUGCGCAGAUAUCAGGAAGAACACCCGUGGCUAAGGCGGCUCUCUAGUACGGUACUGACGCUGAGACGCGAAAGCGUGGGGAGCGAACAGG